rnacentral:rRNA from 1 species
AACGAACGCUGGCGGCGUGCUUAACACAUGCAAGUCGAACGGAACGGCCCUGCUUUUGUGGGGAGCUCGAGUGGCGAACGGGUGAGUAACACGUGAGUACCCUGCACCUGACUUUGGGGUAACUUCAGGAAACUGGGGCUAAUCCCAGAUAGGAGCUCCUGCUGCAUGGUGGGGGUUGGUAAGUUUCGGCGGUUGGGGAUGGACUCGCGGCCUAUCAGCUUGUUGGUGGGGUGGUGGCUUACCAAGGCCUUGAAGGGUAGCCUGCCUGAGAGGGUGACAUGCCACAUUGGGACUGGAAUGCGGCCCAGACUCCUACGGGAGGCAACGGUGGAGUAGAGUGCACAAUGGGCGGAAGCCUGAUGCAGCAACGCCGCGUGGGGUAUGACGUCCAGCGGUUAGUAAACCACAUUCGCCUUUGACGAGACGUUAGUGACGGUAAUGGGUAAAGAAGCACCGGCUAACUACGUG